CCUGGUUGAUCCCGCCAGUAGUCAUAUGCUUGUCUCAAAGAUUAAGCCAUGCAUGUGUAAGCACACACUGUUUUAAAAGUGAAGCCGCGAAUGGCUCAUUACAACAGCCACAGUUUAUUAGAACUUACAAUCAUGGAUAACUGUGGUAAUUCUAGAGCUAAUACACGCACAAAAACUUCAACUGAAUUGGUUGAAGUGCUUUUAUUAGAACAAAAACCGAACGGCGUUUGACGAAUGUUGAACGUCGAAACUGUUUGGUGAAUCUGAAUAACUAUUUCUGAUCGCAUGGUCUAGCACCGGCGACAUCACUUUCAAGUGUCUGCCUUAUCAACCUUCGAUGGUAGUCUAUGCGACUACCAUGGUGAUAACGGGUAACGGAGAAUCAGGGUUCGACUCCGGAGAGGGAGCCUGAGAAACGGCUACCACAUCCAAGGAAGGCAGCAGGCGCGCAAAUUACCCACUCCCAGCUUGGGGAGGUAGUGACGAAAAAUAACGAGACGAUUCUCGUUUGAGAAACGUUAUCGAAAUGAGUACGCUUUACACACGCUAACGAGUAGCAAUUGGAGGGCAAGUCUGGUGCCAGCAGCCGCGGUAAUUCCAGCUCCAAUAGCGUAUAUUAAAGUUGCUGCGGUUAAAACGCUCGUAGUUGAAUUGUGGUCUUAGACAACAGUCCCCCUACAAAGGUGUGGCACGGUUGCUCGAGAUCUUCAUUCGUGGUUGCUGUUGUUGCUCUUCAUUGAGUGUCAAUGGUGCCUCGAGAUUUUACUUUGAAAAAAUUAGAGUGCUCAAAGCAGGUUGUGAUGCCUGAAUAAUGGUGCAUGGAAUAAUAGAAUAUGAUCUCGGUUCUAUUUUGUUGGUUUUCGAACCGGAGAUAAUGAUUGAAAGGAACAGACGGGGGCAUUCGUAUUGCUGCGUUAGAGGUGAAAUUCUUGGAUCGCAGCAAGAUGAACAAUUGCGAAAGCAUUUGCCAAGAAUGUUUUCAUUAAUCAAGAACGAAAGUUAGAGGUUCGAAGGCGAUCAGAUACCGCCCUAGUUCUAACGGUAAACUAUGCCAACCAGCGAUUCGCCGAAGUUCAUUUAAGACUCGGCGAGCAGCUUCCGGGAAACCAAAGUGUUUCGGUUCCGGGGGAAGUAUGGUUGCAAAGCUGAAACUUAAAGGAAUUGACGGAAGGGCACCACCAGGAGUGGAGCCUGCGGCUUAAUUUGACUCAACACGGGAAAACUCACCCGGCCCGGACACUGGAAGGAUUGACAGAUUGACAGCUCUUUCUUGAUUCAGUGGGUAGUGGUGCAUGGCCGUUCUUAGUUGGUGGAGCGAUUUGUCUGGUUAAUUCCGAUAACGAACGAGACUCUACCCUAUUAAAUAGUGACAGUAUUGUAUUUUUCAAAUUGAAAGCUGCACGAAAAAGAGCAAUAACAGGUCUGUGAUGCCCUUCGAUGUCCGGGGCUGCACGCGCGCUACAAUGAAAGCGUCAACGUGAGUUACGUCCUUACCUGAAAAGGUUUGGCAAUCGAAUGAAACGUUUUCUUGAAUGGAAUAGGGAAUUGCAAUUGUUUCCCUUGAACGAGGAAUUCCCAGUAAGCGUGAGUCAUUAGCUCGCGUUGAUUACGUCCCUGCCCUUUGUACACACCGCCCGUCGCUACUACCGAUUGGAUGAUUUAGUGAGGUGUUUUGACUGGCGCCAGUAGUCGGAUAUGUAUUCGGCUUCGCGCCGGGAAAUUUCCCAAACCAAAUCAUCUAGAGGAAGUAAAAGUCGUAACAAGGUUUCCGUAGGUGAACCUGCGGAAG
rnacentral:rRNA from 1 species